rnacentral:rRNA from 1 species
UUAAGCAUAUAAGUAGGUGGAGGAAAAGAAACCGAAUGGGAAUCUCUUAGUAAUGGCGAAUGAAAAGAGAUGUGCUUAGUGUCAAAAUCAGGUUAUCCUGAAUUGUAGGCUGUAGGGGUGAUGCCAACUUGGGUGCAGGUGAAAGUCUCUUGGAAAGGAGCACCAGUGAGGGUCAGGGUCCCGCCUGUCAUCUGUCAUCCCUUGUAGACGGUUUGCCCAUUGAGAGUCGUGUUCUUCUGGAAUAGAGCGCCAAACGGGUGGUACUCUUUGCCUAAGGAGCAUUACGUGCUUGAGACCAAUAGCGAACAAGUACCAUGAGGGAAGGGUGAAAAGGACUUUGGAAAGAGGGUUAAGAGGGCUUGAAGCUGCUGGAAGGGAAGUGGAUUGGACUUUUACUCCGCGGCAAGAUUGCAGGCUGUAGUCUUCACUUGUGGGGAACUGCGUACUGUGUCUCUUGCCGCAUGGUUGAGCUCUGUGUAGCGCUCAGAAUCUUAGCGUGGACUGGAGAAGGGUUGCGAUCUGGACCAUGUCUUUGCSUACUCUUAGCGCAACAUUUAUCUUGACCAAAUAGUUCAAUUUUACCCGUCUUGAAACACGGACCAAGGA